UUGUGACCUCAUCGAGGUUGCCAUUUGCUUGUGGUAUGCUAUUGUUCCUCCUGGGAGUGAGAUCCCUUCUGUGUGGACGACCUUCCCUCUCUUUGUGACCAUCCAACCACACUUCUCUAGUCCGAAUGACAUUCCAAUGUCAGUGCUGUAGGUCCUGGUGGUGUGAAUCAGUGUCGAUGUCUCGCUCGCUCUUGGCGUACAGCUUGAUGUCAUCUAUGUAGAGGAGGUGACUGAUUGUGGCCCCAUUCUUGAGUCGGUAUCCCUAGAAAGUCUUGUUGAUGAUUUGGCUGAGGGGGUUCAGGCCUAUGCAGAACAGCAGUGGGGACAGAGCAUCUCCUUGGUAUAGGCCACAUUUGAUGGACACUUGUACAAGUGGUUUGCAGUUGACUUCAAAGGUGGUUUUCCACAGCCCCAUCGAGUUUGCAAUGAAGGCUCUUAGGGUCAUAUUGAUGUUGUACAUCUCCAAGCAUUCAAUGAUCCAAGUGUGUGGCAUUGAGUCAUAGGUUUUGCAGUCUCGGGCGACUGUGUGGUCUACAAGGAGUUGGUGUUUGGCUCCUCUGCUAUUUAUGCCUAUGCCCUUAUGUGCCGUGCUCAUGUAUUUAUCCAUGUGGCCCCUUAUCUUAGCCGCUAUGAUGCCUGACAUGAGCUUCCAUAUUCCAUAUUGGCCGUGCACAGGGUGGUGUGUCGGGUUUUGCAAUCUUGCGUGAAACCCGAAAUAAAUAAAUAUACAUUCUGUAUGUAUUCUGUUUUUAUUGCUCUACAUACUUGUGAUGUCGUUCAUAUUACCAUUUCUGCUCACACUCUCAUAUACACACACAUGCAACACAGUUAAUGAUACUCAUUCUCUGCAACACCAUACCCCGUUUUCUUCUUUGUUAGCUCUGAUUUUAUUUUCCGUUCAUUAUGGUUCACACCAUCUCGUUUUAAAUUGUGAUAUUAAAUAAAAAAAGAAUAAAAAAUAAAUAAAAAAAUAUAUAAGAAAUGUCUCGCCCACAUUCUUCAAUGUAGGAGAACACUUUUUUUUUAUAACUAUUGAUCUUCAAUAGUUAUCAAUAGGUGUAUUGAUAACUAUAGAGGCCUGAAUUUCAUGUUAUUGUAGCUCCACAGACCCCUUGUUUACUCCUGUUCCCAGUAUGGAAGUAAAUAUGUGUCACCAGAAUAUGCCACUGACAUUUUAAUGUAUAUGUAUAUUUGGACGUACCAUUUCAAUGUUCACAUAUAUCCAGAAUACAUUUUUGACCUAAAGCAUUUCGUUAUUUUUACAUUGGUAGAAAUUUCAUUUAUUUCCACUUCAAGCAAAAAUUUCACAGUACUAUUUCAAAGUAAUCAACUUUUCAGUCUUAAAAGUCAAAAAUCAAACGCAAUAUUUUCAGUCUCCUUAGAUUCAAUUGGCUCAAUUUUGCUGUCUGAAAUUCAGCAUCUAAAAAUUUAGUAUAAAAAAGGGAAAGUUACUGGCAGUCACAUACAUUAGCAAUGAAUGUCAGAUUCCAAAACCCAGUCAAUCCAGUUGUUUCUUAGUCACGUGUUUUUAGUCACAUGACCUGAUGUUUUAUGCUUAUGUGGAGAUCACAUUGAAGGAAAACUAUCAUCGAGGCAGUCCUGGAAGCUAACGCCAACGCAACGGUAAGUUUAAUACUUUUAUUUUUAAGUAGUAUUGUUUUUCAUACAUCAUCUUGCAGCUCGAUUUAGUUAACAGGUUUUGGUGACUUUUUUUUUUUUUUACAUUUUCCAGUUUGUUCACUUUAUUGGCACUUAUUUUAGAAGUGUUUAGUGCACAAAAUGGUUUACGUUAAGGUAAAUUCAUGUCACCAUAUAACAAUUUUACCGUAACACAACAUCAAUUAUUUUGCAGAUGGUCUGCCAAAAAUAAAUCCCUAGUCUGUCCUUAGGACAAAAACUGCAUAUUUUUAGUCUGGGUUUACUCAUUUCUUAACCCUUACCAUGUUAAUAUAUUCUAACCAUUUUUCUGUUUCCCCUAUUUUUCCAAUCCCAAAUCUGUGGUGUUUUUAAGCACCUUGACUGGCAAGUUUUGUCUGCAUACUGAUAAUAUAGUUUGGUUAAAGUUUAAACAGUCCCCCAAUUAGGAUUUUUGAGUUCUGCUCAAAUUUCUCAUUAAUGCAUUUCAUACUUUCAGAUACUUGUACAUACCGUUUAUAGGGUACAUUUGUUUAAAGAUAUGAAGAUUCCACAACUCAUGUUUAUGGUUAAUAGGAAUGGAGGAAGCUGCUUCAUAUAUAGAAAGUGAUAAUCAAAGGUUUAAAAAAAGUAUAUUAAGAGUUUUAAUAUUUAAUACACAUUUUUUAAAGACAGUAGUGAUAGCCUAUAGUUUUGUGUGGUCAUCAACAUGAUAUUCAGUUUUUAACCAUACAUCUGAGGCCUCAUGCAUAAAGCCUGUGCACGCACAAAAAUUGUGCGGCGCCAUGUUUUACCCACAAGUCGGCAUGUAUAAAAAUGAACUUCGUGUCAAAGUUUGCGUGCCUGCCACACACUUUUUCACUGGCGUUAAAGCGUGUGGCAGGCACGCAAACUUUUUCUGUGAACAAUAUUAAACUACAAAGUGUUAAAACUCACAUAAAUACACUGAAAUCUGACUACAUUCAAUGUUAUUUAGACCAAGAAGCAUCAAACCCAAUAUUUUUUUCAUGAUUUUAAUAUUUUAUUGUUUAAAUGUAAACGAUAAAACUGAACCGCAUUUAUCCUCAGGC